rnacentral:sRNA from 1 species
CUUCUUCAAUCUGCUGAGGACAGAUAAAGUGAAUGUGGGCAUCGACACCGCCAGCCGUAAUGAUCUGGCCUUCUCCGGCAAUGACCUCGGUUCCCGGGCCGAUAAUAAUAUCCACACCUUCCUGAACAUCCGGGUUACCGGCCUUGCCAAUUUUUUCGACACGACCCUGUUUGAUCCCGAUAUCGGCCUUGACGAUGCCCCAGUGGUCGAGAAUCAGUGCAUUGGUGAUAACCGUAUCAACAACAUCAGCACCGGGCCGCUGACUCUGGCCCAUACCGUCACG